GGUAUGGAUGUCACGAGGGUAAAGAUAACUUAACACAAACAAACUGUUUACGUUUAAACUCCAUAAUGAGGACGUUUUAUGUGAUGUCCAGCCAUUUAUUGACACUGCCGACAAUGUUUGAAAAACCGAAAGGUUCUUCCAAGCUGUGUACGAAGAGGUGUUUGGCAGGAGUCAAAGGUCAUUUUGGUCCCAUCAACUGUGUGGCUUUCCACUCUGAAGACCAGAGCUACAGCAAUGGAGGAGAAGACGGACAUGUGAGGUUUCACUACUUAGAGCUGGAGGCCUAAAGUGUUAGGCUUGUGGACACAGCAGCUUGGACUGUCAGGUAGCGACUUUAUUUGAAGCAGAUCACGUGUUUGUGUCAUUCCACCUCCUCUGCUAUUGUCAUUUACAGUUCCAGCAGCGGAGAAGAUGGAUACGUGAGAUUUCACUACUUUGACCCACAGGCGGUGUGAAUCACUUGACUUGUGAGUGUUUUACUGAAUUGUGUAAUUCCAUUCAUUGUGCCUUAAUGCUAUAGUCACUUUUUGGCAACACAUUGCUCAUAGCCUUUGCACUUCUGGUUAUUCCAUUCCAUGUGCCUUACUGGUAUACUUCCUUAACAGGGUCACUUUUCUUUUUGCCUUAGCACUUAUUUCAUUGUGCCUUAUUGGUAUUGUGCUUUCAUCGUGAACUGUAUGUGACUGAAAUGACUGUUGUAAAUGUUCCAGAAUAAAGAAAAUGGUUUGGACCAUUGUGUGGCUUCAUUUCAAGAUAUUUGAGGAAAUAUGAAUGGAUUUUCUCAUUGCCUUUUAGGGCAUGCAUUGUCAAAGUCAAGGGUAUAGUUAAGGUAAAGGAAGUUUUUAUUUAUAGGUUUUUUAAAUUUUUUAUUUUUUUUUAAGUUUGAAGUGCACUAAGGAACUCCACCUGAUGGGGAACAUGUGGAUAUUUCUCAACAUAAAAAGGCUAGUUUUAACAAAGUGGAAAAAUUCUUUAGCUUGAUCAUUUACUGAAACUGCAAUCAAAUAUUCUUGGGGAAAAAAAAUAAAAAAUAACUCGCACUCACAGUAAAACAGACUUACUGGUAGUAGUAUUUGCCCUUUCCAGCCCCCAUGUCCUGUAAACAUUUUACAACACACUGUAAACGCUAUCCAAAAGUUUCAUUUCCGGUGACAAAAAAUAAAAAAAUGAAAUGAGUCCACCGGUCCAGUAGAUGGCGAUAUGGGUCUGCUGCUACACCUGGAGGGAUUUAAUUAAUCAAUUUCAUACAUGUUGAUUUACACAGGGAGGAUGUCAGCAUGUCAAUGUCUGUCAGUGCUUUCACUUCCAGCCUGUUCUCCUUGUACUGCAGCUGCCAUAAACAUGAUUGGAAUGCUGACACCGGAAAUGUCAGCUAACUGUGCUAAAUCUUUCAUGCCAAGGUUUAAAGCAAAAGAGCAUCUUAAGAGACACUUCAGGCACAUGUUAGACUGUCUGGAUGAUUGAGGACGCUGCCUGACCAGAGGCCAUAAAAACCCCUUCAGUGUAGGAGCCGGCACAUUAACUGCAAAACCAAGUUACCGUAAGACCUCUCUUGAGCCAAAGCAUCAACAAAACAUAAUACUAAACUACCAGAAAAAUAAAAAUGUUAGUCCCUCUUUGCUUUAAGCUAGACUCUCACUGGAUAUGUUUCUGGAUCAUCAAGAAGCUAAAUGGUUGGGGUCAGAGGUCAGGCAUGGAAGAGCAGUGUAGUUUUUGUAGUUUUGUACUACAACUCAAACUUCCACUACAACACCAUCCAGUCAGCUAGUUACUGUUAGAACCAGGGCAGUUUUCACCAUCAGUGAUACAUUGUAGCAUCAGUAUU